rnacentral:lncRNA from 1 species
CGCCUGCGCGCGGUGAGGUAGUUUUUGCGUUUGGCUUUGCCGCCGCGGUGUAGUCCGCGGGGGCGUCUCGCGCGGGCAGACUGCCGCCCCUCAAGCGUGGUUCCUGCCGGGAAUGACUGGGGUUGGUCCUGAAGAGACCACCUGGCCAACCAAGCCGAGGCAGGCUCAGAGCGCCGCGGGGAGCGCAAAGCCGCGCGCGCCUCUGAGCUCCGGGCAGCCGCUGUUCCUCCCGGCGGCCGAACGGUCCGCGCGCAGGGCGGUGUUUCGGCAGCCGGAGACCGCGCGGUAGCCGCGCCUGUAUUCCCAGCGCUUUGGGAGGCCGAGGCUGGAGGGUCGCUUGAGCCCAGGAAUUCCAGACUAGCCUGGGCAACAGAGCGAGACCCCAUCACUUUUGUUUCUUUUCUUUUUUUUUUUUUUCCUUUUUUUGAGACGGAGUCUCCCUCUGUCGCCCAGGCUGGAGUGCAGUGGCGCGAUCUCGGCUCACUGCAACGUCUGCCUCCUGGGUUCAGGUGAUUCUCCUGCCUCAGCCUCCCGAGUAGCUGGGAUUGCAGGUGCGCGCCACCACGCCUGGAUGAUUUUUGUUAUUUUUAGUAGAGACAGCGUUUCGCCAUGUUGGCCCAGGCUAGUCUCGAACUCCGGACCUCAGGUGAUCCGCCCGCCUCGGCCUCCCAAAGUGCUGGGAUUACAGGCGUGAGCCACCGCACCCGGCUGAGACCCUAUCUUUUAACCAGCCUGGGCGGCAGAGCGAGACUCUGUCUCAAAACAAAACCAAACAUAAGAAUUCGUAAAAGCGAGUGCCUAGGCGAAGCUAAUGUGCCUCAAAGUCCUGGGUAAGUAGAGGCCCUGGAGACCCGUCCGCAUCCUCUGGCAGUGGCCUUGGAACCACCGAAGGGAUUCAGCCGAAGGGCCGCGUUCCCGGCAGGCGUCUUUAUUGUGUUGAUUACGUAGAUGGCGUAGAUGACGUAGAUGACGUUCAGCACCACAAACGAAGAGCCGAGGCACAGAGUGGGGCCUUGGAUUCAUGAGAUGGGGAUGGAGCAGAAAUGAGAAUUCGGAGUCCAUGAAACCCCCACAAAGACUCCUGCACGGCCCGACUCGGACACUUUGCAAUCUGCUGGUUGAGGGGGAUGGUGUGAACUCAGGGAACAGCCUGAGAUCGCGCCGCUGCACUCCAGCCUGGGCAACAGAGCAAGACCCUGUUUCAAAAACAAAAAAUAACACUAAGCAAUUAACAGGACUAGACUCAGAGGUGAUCGAGAAAUUGAAACAGGCUGGAAAUUUAAAUUAACUGUGAUUAAUAUGUGGAGGUCUCUUGUACGAAAGGUGAACAAUAUGCAUGAGGAGGAAACUCAUCAAAUUAUAAGAAAGGAAGAACGCUGAUAACAGGUAAUUUUUCUGAUGGGGCAGCAGUAGGAUCAACACAGCUGAGAAAAAUAGGAAUUACCCACGUUGGAAAAUAAAGAAGAAAAAAAGUUUUUUUUUAAAAAAAGCAUCCAAGAACUGUGGGAAAAUAUCAAAUGAUAUCAUAUGCAUGUAAUAGGACUCCCAAAAGAAGAAGAAAGAACAAAUCAUAAAAAAUGUUUGAAGAGAAAAUUACCAAUAAUUUUCCCAAAAUAAUGAAAGACCUGAGCUCAGAGCACACACAAAACUUGAUAAAUAUGAGCCCCUGCCUGACACAUGCAGUGUAUUCAAACUGUGGAAAUCAGAGAGAAAACCAUGAAGAUGGCCGGAGGAAAAAGAUACGUUAAAUACAGUAACAAAGAUCUGGCACAACUAUGAAGAGGCCUCGGGAUGAGCCCCAGCCGAGUUCCCCUUGCGUCCCUCAGGCAAACACCCAGUGUCCAGGAGUGACCCGGCCUGAAGACACAAACACGCCCCAAAUGCGAUGCACGCCAUCACUGGCCAACCGUGUGUGUUUAUUUUUCACGGACACCCUGGAGACGUCACUGCAGGCACAUUCCCUGCUAGGCAGAGGCAUUUAUUAAGGGCUUCAUACCCGAAGGCCGGAUGCGGGGAGUCGCCCUCACCCCAGCCACCCUGCGACAACCCCUGGAGGUCACCUU